AGAGUUUCAUCCUGGCUCAGGAUGAACGCUGGCGGCGUGCCUAACACCUGCAAGUCGAACGGAGCCUUCGCAAGAGGGUUCAGUGGCGCACGGGUGAGGAACACGUAGCUGACCUGCCCUCCAGCGGGGGAUAACGUCCCGAAAGGGAUGCUAAGACCGCAUAAGCUCACGGGUUUUAGAGACCUGGGAGAAAAACCUUCGGGUACUGGAGGAGGGGGCUGCGGCCCAUCAGGUAGUUGGGGGGGUAACGGCCCACCAAGCCAACGACGGGUCGGGGAUCUGAGAGGAUGAUCCCCCACACUGGGACUGAGACACGGCCCAGACUCCUACGGGAGGCAGCAGUGAGGGAUAUUGCACAAUGGGCGAAAGCCUGAUGCAGCGACGCCGCGUGGGUGAUGAAGGUCUUCGGAUCGUAAAGCCCUUUUCUGUGUGACGAGAACGGACGGUAGCACAGGAAGAAGUCUCGGCUAACUACGUGCCAGCAGCCGCGGUAAAACGUAGGAGGCAAGCGUUAUCCGGAGUUACUGGGCGUAAAGCGUGUGUAGGUGGUUAUCCAAGUUCGGUGUGAAAGCCCCCGGCUUAACUGGGGGAGGACAUUGAAGACUGGAUGGCUAGAGGGUGGUAGAGGGGCGUAGAAUUCCGGGUGUAGCGGUGAAAUGUGUAGAGAUCCGGAGGAAUACCAGUGGUGCAGACGGCGCCCUGGGCCAUACCUGACACUGAGACACGAAAGCGUGGGGAGCGAACGGGAUUAGAGACCCCGGUAGUCCACGCCGUAAACGAUGCGAACUAGGUGCGCACGGUCCGCAAGGGCAGGGCGUGCCGCAGCUAACGCGCUAAGUUCGCCGCCUGGGGAGUACGGUCGCAAGGCUAAAACUCAAAGGAAUUGACGG
rnacentral:rRNA from 1 species